rnacentral:lncRNA from 1 species
UGCGCCGAAGAAUCGGACGAAGCGUCGAGGGACCAAUGACAUGUCGGACAACUUGGUUAAUUGCUUAGGAUUAAUUGUCUCGAUCGAAGUUUUGUUUUGUUGUGCAGGAUUAACUACGAUAAGAGUAAGACAAGCAGCCAGGAGUUGCGCCGGAGUCAAGAUCAUGAUCACGUUGGGAGUUCGAGAGUUCGACGGAAGUUCGGACGGUCGUCGGAGGUUCAGAGAGAACAGAUCCGAGAAGUCCAGAAGCUUGCCAAGCGAAGCUCGUCGGAACUCGCCAAGUGGAUCGUCGCAAAGUCCAGGAGUAUGCCGGAUGUCCGCAGAAGGAUCACCGAAGGUUAUCGGUUGAUCGACGGAAGUUGGCCGGAAACUCGCCGGAAGAAGCGAUUGACGCAUCGGAGCAAAGCUGCAGAAGUUGUCUUAGAGAUAUUCGUAGUUAGCACGAUGAUUAAGCAUGAAAAUGGGAGGUGAUCCCAUUAGCUUAAUCUUGGGGCAAUUGGGCCCCUGAAAAGAUUCAAAGUGGGUCGAAUGGAGUGAACCAUUCGGACCCUGAUUGCACCAGGAGGUGCAACCGCCCCAGCCAGGAGGUGCAACCGCCUGGGCUGUGGGGUUGAGAGGUGCAACCGCCCCAGCCAGGAGGUGCAACCGCCAGGGUUGCAAGGCUGGGAGGUGCAACCGCCCCAGCCAGGAGGUGCAACCGCCAGGGUUGCAAGGCUGGGAGGUGCAACCGCUCCAGCCAAGAGGUUGCACCGCCAGAGCUCAAGUUCCGAGCUCUGCCAGGCGAUGCAACCACCGAGCUCAGUCUUCGAGCUCUGGCAGAGUGGUGCAUCAGCCUGAGCUCAGUCUCGAGCUUUGCCAGGUGAUGCAUUCACCAAGCUCAGUCUUCGAGCUCUGGCAGAAUGGUGCAUCAGCUUGAGCUCAGUUUGGAGCUCUGCCAAGUGAUGCAACCACCAAGCUCAGUCUUCGAGCUCUGCCAGGCGAUGCAACCAUCGAGCUCAGUCUUCGAGCUCUGGCAGAGAGAAGCAAUCGGCAGAGCUCAGUCUUCGAGCUCUGCCAGGCGGUGCCACCUCUCCAGUCGAGAGGUGCAACCGCCUGAUCCCAGAAUUCUGGGAUUUGAUCGAUUUGAUCGUUUUGAGCUCGAAUUUUGAAUUGGGUUGGGGCCUAUAAAUACCCCACCCAUUCAGCACUGAAAAGAUAACAGACCAAUACCGAAAUAUUGAUCUUUUCUGUGAUUCUAAGAGCUCAAAAGUGUUGUAAAGUCUUUAAGUCUCCUCCUUCUGUUCUUCAAGUUUUUGAUUGUAAAGUGAGGAGAGAAAGGUCUGUAAAGGUUGUCUCCUGAGCCUGUCAAAAGGAGAGAAACUGUAAAAGGGCAGUUAGCCUUCACCCAUUGAAGGAAGGCCCCUAGUUGACGUCGGCAACCUCGUCGGUGGAGGAAGCCAAAAGUGGAGUAGGUCAAGGCUGACCGAACCACUCUAAAUCUCUGGUUUGCGUUUAUUUUCGAGCACUUUAUCAUUACUGCAAACCUCCUUCAUUGCUACUGCUCUCUGCGCUUUCACGAACAAAUUCUAAGUGCUGUUCUUCCAAAUCUGCAUUCAGACGUAAAUUCGUAUUUUCGUACAUUACAGUUUACGUUUACGUUUGAUUCUGCAGAACUGUCUUCCGUGCUUUUACGAACGAGUUUCUUUGCAGUUUACGCUUACAUUUUAAUCCUAUUAAUAACUGCAAUCUGUCCUCUAUGAUCUUACGAACGAGUUUCAACAUUUAGACGCAAAACUGCAUUCAGACGUAAAUCGGCUUUUCUCGCUCAAUCGUCAGAUUUCAGUUCACGUUUACGUCUUGAUUUCAACUGCAUACUGCCUUCUGCGAGUAUACAAACAAGUUUCAAAGUUUAGACGUAAAUCUGCGUUUAGACGUAAAUCUGCGUUUAGACGUAAAACUACGUUUAGACGUAAAUCUGCGUUUAGACGUAAAACUGCGUUUAGACGUAAAACUGCGUUUAGACGUAAAACUGCGUUUAGACGUAAAUCUGCGUUUAGACGUAAAUCUGCGUUUAGACGUAAAUCUGCGUUUAGACGUAAAUCUGAGUUUAGACGCAAAACUGCACUUAGACGCAAAACUGCGCUUAGAUGCAAAACUGCGCUUAGAUGCAAAACUGCGCUUAGACGCAAAACUGCGCUUAAACGCAAUCUGCGCUUAGACGCAAACUGCACUUAGAUACAAACUGAGAAUUUGCUUUUGCAUCAUAAUAGUUUUUGAACGAACGCAGCUUUUGGUUCUUAAUCGCUGUAAGAUUUCCGCUGCACUAAUUCACCCCCCCCCCUCUUAGUGCUCUCGAUCCUA